UUGCCAGUGUGGCCUUGGUUGCUGACACUGUACGGAGAACGGUUAGACACGUUGAUUCAUUGGAUAGCUCAAACCUACAAAGGAAAAAGACAAUGCUGGCAAACAAGAGGAGAUGUCAACUCGCUGACUUGCCAGUUGGUCAGCACCUACAGGACCAUCCUGGCCUCAUCUACCCAGAGUUCUGGAUAGAGAAUCCAGUAACAAUCACCGCUGAUAUAAUUAAUAGUUGGCAGGCCACCAUACAGUAUGGUAUAUUUAGGAAAGUUUUCGAAAGUCUACAACUUUCCCGAGCACAAGACUCGUCCAGUUUUGACGUGGAAUACGCAUGUUGAAUUGUUCUUCAUUCCACCAUACUGCAUUCAACGUGAGAUUCAUCCCAACUACCUUGAUGAUGACUCUAGUGCGCAGCAGCACUGCGUGGAUGCUCUUGCCUACGAGACACUCAUCCCCAAGUCGAGCGUGUAGCGCUGCACGUCCUGCUGCUUGAGCAUUGCUAACACACAGCACACAGCGACAGGCAAGAGCUACCUGGGUCAGCGGCUGGCCGAGUACCUCGUGCUGCGAUGCGUCUCACCUUCUCGAACUCUGUGUUUGUGCGCACUGUAUGUGCAUGAGCAAGUGCUGGCCGAGUAGUCUCUGUCUCUCUCAAAAAUGCACAUCUCAAGAUUAUGAUAGCUCUAAUUAC
rnacentral:misc_RNA from 1 species